AUCCAGCUAACGAGUCCCAAAUAGGACGAAAUGCGCGUCCUGGAU
rfam:Schistosoma rodhaini strain Burundi genome assembly, scaffold: SROB_scaffold0000210